CCCUUAGAUGUUCUGGGCCGCACGCGCGCUACACUGACGAAUGCAACGAGCUUAUAACCUUGGCCGAAAGGUCUGGGUAAUCUCCAAAUUUCGUCGUGAUGGGGAUAGAUUAUUGCAAUUAUUAAUCUUCAACGAGGAAUGCCUAGUAAGCGCAAGUCAUCAGCUUGCGUUGAUUACGUCCCUGCCCUUUGUACACACCGCCCGUCGCUCCUACCGAUUGAAUGGUCCGGUGAAGCGCUCGGACCGCGGCCUCUUGACGGUUCGCUGUCGAUUGGCUGUGUGAAGUUCGUUAAACCUUAUCAUUUAGAGGAAGGAGAAGUCGUAACA
rnacentral:rRNA from 1 species